UUGAAAGCACCCGCAAUGCAAAAUGGGCUGAUGCACAGUGACCAUGGGGUGAUGUAUUCUUUUUUCUGUUGUUUCAUGGCUGUAUGGGAACUGUGAAGUCACAACCUAAAACAGUGAUUGAGCACUUGGUGAGGGGUGUAGCCCUGCAAGCACUGGUUGGAGCAGUUCACCUAAGAUGGGAUGGGGCUCAGCCUGGCUCCACCCUUCCCUGACCACAUUUAAGGGCUGGAAAGCAUUGUGGCAGCAUCUCUUCUUGGAGACUGUCUCUUUUGGGGUGGGGGAUCUUUUCUUUAUGUUAGGGCUGUGAGCUUCUCCCUGUUUGUGGGGUGCGUGCGCAGCGCGUGUGUGUGUUUGUUUGUUUUUUGAGGAGGGUGAGAUUCCUGACCAUGUUGAAGGGCAGCAUGUCUACCUGGAGGCUGUUUUCUUUGGAGCAUGAGUGAGUGUUGGCCCUUGGCAUGGGGCCAUGUUUAAGGGCUGGCAGCCAUCUCUACCUGCAGAAUGCCUUCCAGGGAGUGUGGCUUGAUGGGGUAUAAGGAUUACCAGGGCUCCUCUAAUCAGUGGUAUAAGCACUGUGAAAUCUGCGGAGCAGGGAGAAGAGCGCCAGAAGCUGCGGCGCGGCUGCGCGUCGAGCCAGUCGUUGUUGUUUCCACGGUCUCCGGUGCCCCCUCGUGGCCAAUAGGUGGAAUUGCGGCCGUGUUUGGCGCCGCAGGCAAUGCGCACAGGCACGCGGCGGUGAUGUACUCGCGGUGCAUUCCUCGCUCUGCGCAGCAAAUCCGCCGAGCUUUGUUAUGGUUAAUCCUCGAGGCAACAGAGCGCAUGCGCUAGGACACUCGUAACUAGCAUUCAAAUCUACAAAGCCUCGAGGUGCAGGCGAGCAGUCGAUUCCUGGAGCACUGGCUCUUCCAAUCGGUCGUGCUCCUUGUCCAUUUCCUCGGACGGUUUGACACUCGAGCCUGCCUCGGGAACAGCCUAUUCUGGCUCCCAGCGGCCCCUGCGCCCCUCGCACGCGUAAUGAGGAGUCGAAAACAACGCACGCGUAGGUGAGUACUCGAAACUAAUCAUGCGAAAUAACCGGCCGGGGCUGGCGCGCCCAUAACUUUCUCGAGACAGGCACGCGCGCAGUGCGGUGUAUGGGCUUGGGCGUGCGUAGCGCUGUGCUGAGAGUAGCGUGUGCGUAGU